rnacentral:rRNA from 1 species
CCUUGAAGAGGGGGACAACUUGGGGAAACUCAAGCUAAUACCGCAUAAUGUCUUAGGACGAAAGCUGGGGACUGUAAGAGGCCUGGCGCUUUGAGAUUAGCCUGCGUCUGAUUAGCUAGUUGGUGGGGUAAGGGCCUACCAAGGCGACGAUCGGUAGCUGGUCUGAGAGGAUGGUCAGCCACACUGGAACUGAGACACGGUCCAGACUCCUACGGGAGGCAGCAGUGGGGAAUAUUGGACAAUGGGGGGAACCCUGAUCCAGCAAUGUCGUGUGUGUGAAGAAGGCCUGAGGGUUGUAAAGCACUUUCGGUAGGGAGGAGGAUAUUUAGGUUAAGAGCUAGAAUAUUGGACGGUACCUACAGAAGAAGCACC